rnacentral:rRNA from 1 species
UGCGUAGGCGGUUUGCUAAGUUUGAUGUGAAAUCCCGGGGCUCAACCCUGGAAUUGCAUUGAAUACUGGUGAACUAGAGUACUGGAGAGGAAACUGGAAUUUACGGUGUAGCAGUGAAAUGCGUAGAGAUUGUAAGGAAGACCAGUGGCGAAGGCGAGUUUCUGGACAGUUACUGACGCUGAGGCACGAAGGCCAGGGGAGACGAAACGGG